rnacentral:rRNA from 1 species
UACCUGCAGCUCAAGUGGUGAUCAUUAUUAUUGGGCCUAAAACGUCCGUAGCCGGUUUAGUAAAUGCCUGGGUAAAUCGUGUAGCUUAACUAUACGACUUCCGGGUAGACUGUUAAACUUGAGACCGGGAGAGGCUAGAGGUACUCCUGGGGUAGAGGUGAAAUUCUGUAAUCCUAGGGGGACCACCAGUGGCGAAGGCGUCUAGCUAGAACGGGUCUGACGGUGAGGGACGAAGCCCUGGGGCGCAAACCGGAUUAGAUACCCGGGUAGUCCAGGGUGUAAACGCUGCUUGCUUGAUGUUAGUUGGGCUCCGAGCCCGACUAGUGUCGGAGAGAAGUUGUUAAGCAAGCUGCCUGAGAAGUACGGUCGCAAGGCUGAAACUUAAGGAAUUGGCGGGGAGCACAGCAACGGGUGGAGCGUGCGGUUU